CUGGCUUUCAGCCUGCUCUUCUGGAUCGCCUGGUACACCCUCAACAUGGAGGUGCCUCUUGAGAAACUGGACUUGUAGUCUGGCCCUGGGCAGAGGAGGAGGGACGUGGGCUUCCUGGCAGGUGGAGGAGCGCAGGGCUAUGCUGCCCAGCCAGGGACCAGCCCAGGUGCCAUCUGAUGGAGAAGUAGCAAACAGACGUCCUGUCUCUGCAGCACCUCCUGUAACAGAACCCACAGGAGCCAGGGGCUUUCAAAACACCCGCCAGGAUGUCCAGGGAUGGUUAUGAGGGCCAGGCUCCAUCAAGACACCCGAACCCCUGCCCCUGGCCACUGGCUGACUGCUGCUGGCGCCCCAACUGUCUGUGAGGGUCUGGAGAGCCCCUAA
ensembl:lncRNA